rnacentral:sRNA from 1 species
GUCUUCUCAGCAACAGUCGGAC